CUGGGAUUACCUUAGUAACGGCGAGUGAAGCGGUAAAAGCUCAAAUUUGAAAUCUGGUACUUUCAGUGCCCGAGUUGUAAUUUGUAGAAUUUGUCUUUGAUUAGGUCCUUGUCUAUGUUCCUUGGAACAGGACGUCAUAGAGGGUGAGAAUCCCGUUUGGCGAGGAUACCUUUUCUCUGUAAGACUUUUUCGAAGAGUCGAGUUGUUUGGGAAUGCAGCUCAAAGUGGGUGGUAAAUUCCAUCUAAAGCUAAAUAUUGGCGAGAGACCGAUAGCGAACAAGUACAGUGAUGGAAAGAUGAAAAGAACUUUGAAAAGAGAGUGAAAAAGUACGUGAAAUUGUUGAAAGGGAAGGGCAUUUGAUCAGACAUGGUGUUUUUUGCAUGCACUCGCCUCUCGUGGGCUUGGGCCUCUCAAAAAUUUCACUGGGCCAACAUCAAUUCUGGCAGCAGGAUAAAUCAUUAAGAAUGUAGCUACUUCGGUAGUGUUAUAGCUUUUUGGAAUACUGUUAGCCGGGAUUGAGGACUGCGCUUCGGCAAGGAUGUUGGCAUAAUGGUUAAAUGCCGCCCGUCUUGAA
rnacentral:rRNA from 1 species